AGUGAACGCUGGCGGUAUGCCUAAUACACGCAAGUCGAACGACAGCACAGUAAGAUCGCUCCCUCACGGGUGGCGGCGGACGGACGGGUGAGACAUACAUAGCAAUCUACUUUUUCUUGGGGGAUAACGUAGAGAAACUUACGCUAAUACCGCAUACUACCUACGGGUGAAUGCAUGGGAUCAUCUGACCUUGCGCGAUUGAAUGAGCCGAUGUCGGAUUAGCUAGUUGGCAGGGUAACGGCCCACCAAGGCGACGAUCCGUAGCUGGUCUGAGAGGAUGAUCAGCCACACUGGAACUGAGACACGGUCCAGACUCCUACGGGAGGCAGCAGUAGGGAAUAUUCGACAAUGGGCGAAAGCCUGAUGGAGCAACGCCGCGUGAGUGAAGAAGGUCUUCGGAUCGUAAAACUCUGUUAUUAGGGAAGAAAAACCGCGUAAGAAUCCGUGCACGUUUUGACGGUACCCAAACAGAAAGCCACGGCUAACUUCGUG
rnacentral:rRNA from 1 species